AGUGUAGUGUGUAUGGGUCAGUUGAGUGUCUUAUAGAAGCUCCCAGCCUUGAAAAGGACACUCUGUUCCCAGGCCUGAAGAUAUUGAAACAUUAAUUAGAUAAUUUAAAGUAGUGCUUUCUUCUACAAUGUCUGAAGAAGUGACCUACGCGACACUCACAUUUCAGGAUUCUGCUGGAGCAAGAAAUAACCGAGAUGGAAAUAACCUAAGAAAAAGAGCGCAUCCAGCUCCAUCUCCCAUGUGGCGCCACACUGCCCUGGGUCUGCUAACUCUUUGCCUGAUGUUGCUGAUUGGGCUGGUGACACUGGGGAUUAUGUUUUUGCAGAUAUCUAAUGAAAUUAACUCAGGUUCAGAAAUAUUGAGUCAACUUCAGAAAACCGUCGACCAGCAGCAGGAUAACUUGUCCCAGCAACUGGGCAACUCCAAUAACUUGUCCACGAAGGAGGAAUUUCUCAAGUCACACAUCUCCAGUCUAUUGAAUAGGCUGGAACAAAUGGCCGUCAAACUGUGCCAAGAGCUAAUCGUUCAUACCUCAGACCACAGAUGCAAUCCAUGUCCUAAGAUGUGGCAAUGGUACCAAAAUAGUUGCUAUUAUUUUACAACAAAUGAAGAGAAAACAUGGACUAACAGUAGAAAGGACUGCAUAGACAAGAACUCCACUCUAGUGAAGAUAGACAGCUUGGAAGAAAAGGAUUUUCUUAUGUCACAGCCAUUACUCAGAUUUUCGUUCUUCUGGCUGGGAUUAUCCUGGAACUCCUCUGGCCGAAGUUGGUUCUGGGAAGAUGGCUCUGUUCCCUCUCCAUCCUUGUACGUCUCUAACUAUGGAGGGUAAACACAAGCUUUCCAUGGAAUCCUGGGAAAAUUAAUAAUGAUUGUGAGAAUUAUAAAUACAGAUAUAAAAAGAGGAGUACAACACACUGAGAAAAGAGCUCCAGUAACAAAUAUUGAAAGGAGGUAUAGUUCAUUUCAUCUCUGUGACAAAUUUAGGGCAAGGCUCUGAACUUUAUCUUUGGGUAGAAAUGUGUUUACUUACACACACACACACACACACCCCGCUAAUACUACAUUCAAAGUACUUUAUAAAGAUUAACCCGUGAGUAAAUCACCAUUAUAUUCCCAUUUUAUAGGUAGAACUAUUAUCACAAAGAGAUUAAGUAAAUUGCCUGAGAUCACUCAGCUUAUAAAUUGCACGUUAGGGCCUGUGCACUCAGUCACUCAGCUACUCUGACUCUGCAGCACCUACAAUCCAAACGGGUGCUGCUGGUGAUAAGAACACACAUCAACACAUUUAUUUAUACGAAACAACUGUCAGUCAUUUUCUAUCAAAAAGUAAGACUGAAUUGACUGAUUAGCUCAAUUAGUGUCAUGUUGAGGACUUGCCAAUUACAAUAUAUGGAAAGUGUCUUUUAUAAAUUAAACUAAACCUGCCACUUCAGCAUUUAAAUGAAAAUAUUUAAAGCACAUAUAGAAUAUAUAAAACUUGGAAAAUUUCAAUUUUUUAAAAUUAUUUAAAGUUAUGAAAAAAUAGAUGUGUAAGGGGGUAUUAGAUUUGCUAAAUUCUUUCAGAGACUAUAAAACCAAAAAUUUUGAGAAACAGCCCUCAUCAUAACUACAUUUAAAUAAAACAACAGUAUUAAUAUUUUAAAUAUAACAGUAUUUUUAUAUUAGAUAAAAUUAAAAAUUAUUGGCCUCUUAAUGGAUUUUUAAAUUUUUUAUUGAUACAUAAGGGAUACAUAUGUUUUGGGAUAUAUGUGAUAAUUUGAUACAUUCAGAUAUAGUAUGUAAAGAUCAAAUAAGUGGAAUUGGGACAUCUAUCACUUUAAAUAUUUAUCUUUUCUUUAUGCUAGGAGGAGUCAAAUUAUUCUUUUCUCAUUAUCGUGAAAUGCACAGUAGAUUAUUGUUAAUUGUAUUCACCCUAAUAAUCUAUCAAACACUAGGUCUUACUCUUCUAUCUAACAGGAUAUUUGUAUCCAAAAUGGCUUUUUAUCUACCUUCCUCCCCAACAAAUAAUUAUCCAUGCCCCUCCCUCCUGUUUCAUUGUUUAAAGCAUGCUGUCAAGGUUUUCUUAAACUGAAUCAUAAUCUUCGGUCUCCUGUCAAAGAUGCCAUGCUUCAGCUGUGACUCAGCAGCUCCUUCCAUCACAAACAAUGAUAAGUCUAUUAUUUUCUCCCUGGAUACACUUUACCUUCGUCAAUUUCCCAAUGUUUUGUCAUGGCCAUUUUUACUCCAACACUAAUCCUCCAUUCUCUAAUCACCAUUAUUAAUCAUAUUAAGUCAACUAGUCUGGUGUCACACAAAUAAUAAUGACAAAAAGCACAUGCAGAGUAAUACCCAAACAAACAAACAUGACAGUUACUUUUUUGUGACAAGAGCAAUAUUGGGCAUGAACCGAUUAAUAUUAAUCUGAGGUGUUACUACUAGACUGAGGGAUUCGAGGAGCAGUAGGACGACACCGUGUAAACACGUUGAUUUCAUGUUGGAUUCUAAGAUGUGUCCCUUCUCCCAAAGGGAUUCCAAUCAUCCUUGGCCCCUUUACUCACUCUUACUCAAAGUGUAGAGGAAGGGGCCCCAUAGCAGGUUUUGGAGCCUGCGGACCCUGGCCCCUGAGACAUGCAGCUGUCAGAUAAGCCAGCCUGACAAACUCAGGUUAGAGAGACUGAGCUUCCAGAUUGUAUAGCCAUUUCCUUGACUACUGAAUAAAGGCCAAGGCUGUGAUUUAGUAAGCCUAGCCCUGAAGCAAGAAAAUAAAAUGGCAGUGUAAUACAGGUCAUUUAGGAAAACAACAGUGUUGGGCACACAGAAAAUUUAGACCUGACAAGUGUAAUUUUCUAAAGACAUUCUUUCAGUGUUAACAUCAAUUUCUUAGCAGAGGAAGUGAGUACUCUUGUUGGAACCAUAUCUAUAUAGUCAUUCAUUUCCUCUCUUAAUGUCUGUCUUGUUCUCUUUUUACCUAACACAUAUGUAUAACUAUGUAAAAAGUUAUAUUUGCGCAUAGUAAAAUGUGGUAACUUUUUACAACAUAAUGUAGUUUUAUUUCUAUGUUUUCUUCAUAAAGUCUCAAAGAACUUCAAGUACUUGUAAUAUAAGCUGAACUGGAUGGAUUUCAUUCAUGGAAUUCCAUAUUUAUGAAGGAAAUACAAACUCUCAGCCCAGGAUUUAAGUAUUUCUUUUAAAGAAUUCUACCUGGGAUCAUGAUAAACUUAAAACAAAGAGCUCAGAUGUGCCAGCUCUAGGCAGCUUCAGAUUUUGAAGUUUUGUGGAGGCAGAAGUCCCUCAAUAUUCACAUACAUGACGUUGGUUUUAAGAGCAACUGAGAGCACUAAACAGUGAUCAUAUUUCAAAUAUAGAAUUUAUAAUUAAUUUUAAAUUGAUUAAUUUUCAGAUUUAGUACUAAAGAACUUGACCAGAUCAACGGAUCCAAAAGAUGUGCUUAUUUUCAAAAAGGAAAUAUUCAUAUUUCUCGCUGUAGUGCUGAAAUAUUUUGGAUUUGCGAGAAGACAGCUGUCCCGGUGAAGAUUGAGGAUUUGGAUUAGUAUGUUUCUUCCAAAUUCUCCAAGAAGCAGGAGUUUUGUGAGUAAUCCCAUGUGAGGAAAGAGGAAACUACAGUACCAGAACCAAGAGCAGCUUUCAAAAUGACUGUGUAUUUACAUCAUCAGACAAAUGAACUUGCUUAACGGAACAUUCUCCAGUCCCUUGUCUGAUGCCUUCUGAUUUUAUGUUAUUAUUCAGUCUUAAAAUAAUCCCUGGGGACCAAGGGGAAUAGCCAUACUAUGGCCUUAUGAUUGUCUCUCAUUUCACUGAAUUUAUUUGCUUUUUCAAAUAAAGAUUCAUUUCUUACAUUAUUA